rnacentral:rRNA from 1 species
GACGGAGGUUGCAAGCGUUAUUCGGAAUUAUUGGGCGUAAAGAGUGUGUAGGCGGCCGGUUAAGUCAGGCGUGAAAGCCCAGGGCUCAACCCUGGAAGUGCGUUUGAAACUGGCUGGCUUGAGUUCGGGAGAGGGAAGCGGAAUUCCGGGUGUAGAGGUGAAAUUCGUAGAUAUCCGGAGGAACAUCGGUGGCGAAGGCGGCUUCCUGGACCGAAACUGACGCUGAGACACGAAAGCGUGGGGAGCAAACAGG